rnacentral:rRNA from 1 species
UACGUAGGCAGCAAGCGUUGUUCGGAAUUACUGGGCGUAAAGAGUGUGUAGGCGGUGUUCUAAGUUUGUCGUGAAAUCUCCCGGCUUAACUGGGAGGGUGCGGCGAAAACUGGAAUGCUAGAGGAUGGGAGAGGUAAGCGGAAUUCCUGGUGUAGCGGUGAAAUGCGUAGAUAUCAGGAGGAACACCGGUGGUGUAGACGGCUUUCUGGACCGUAACUGACGCUGAGGAGCGAAAGCGUGGGGAGCGAACAGG